GACUUCUGGUUUAAUGCACCUGGCCCGCGGCCUUUUAGGCAUGUGAGUGCCGGCGCGCGUUUACCAUCCUUCCAGAUAACAAGUCUUCCCUUCACUGGGCCGGAUUUGGGGUCUGGAUCUUUUACUUUGAAAAAAUUAGAGUGUUUAAAGCAGGCGUUUGCUAUGAAUACAUUAGCAUGGAAUAAUAAUCUAGGACUUUCGGUUCUAUUUUGUUGGUGUUCUGGAGCUGAAGUAAUGAUUGAUAGGGAUAGUUGGGGGUGCUAGUAUUCAAUGGCCAGAGGUGAAAUUCUCGGAUUCCUUGAAGACUAACUUAUGCGAAAGCAUU
rnacentral:rRNA from 1 species